AAACAUUCCACUUGACUGUGCUCAUGCUGAAGCUUUGGAAUAAGGACCGAGUUGAAGCUGCUGCUGAAGUUUUGCGGAGUGUCUCACCAAAAGUAAUUGAUGCUUUGGAGAGCCGACCUGUGUCUAUAAGACUGAAGGGUUUGGAGUGCAUGAAAGGUUCUCCAGCAAAAGCUCGUGUUGUAUAUGCUCCUGUGGAAGUAAUUGGUGGUGAAGACAGACUUUUACGUGCCUGUCAGGUGAUCACCAAUGCGUUCAUUGAAGCUGGUCUUGUUCUUGAAAAUGAUUUAAACCAGAAGUUAAAGUUGCAUGCCACCGUAAUGAAUGCGCGGCACA
rnacentral:misc_RNA from 1 species